GGAUGGUGCAGAAGACACUGCGGUUGCUGUGGAAACCACCUUCCACCCGGGCUGUGAUCCUCGUUGCCAUGGCUGUCACCUUCUGCCCAUUGUGGGCUGCCGAGGGACGUCUGAGAGAAUUUUCAAGCUCUAUGACCACAGAUGUUUACAGAAGCUUUAUUCAUAAUCACCAAAAACUAGAAACUACCUAAAUACCCUUCAGCUGAUGACUGAAUAAAUGUGCAGUACACCCACACAGGGGAAGACUACUCAGCAAUUGAAAGGAAUGAACGCCUUACAUGCAACACCAUGAAUGAAUCUCCAGCAUGUUAGGCUAAGUGAAAGAAGCCAGACUCAAAAGACUACAUACUGCAGGAUUUCUGGGUUUUUUUUUGUUUUUACUUUUAUUUUUUAAUUUUUAAUUUUUUUUUUUCUGAGACAGACUCUUGCUCUGUUACCCAGGCUGGAGUGCAGUAGUGCGAUCUGGGUUCACUGCAACCUCUUCCUCCCAGGUUCAAGUGAUCCUCCUGCCUCAGCCUCCCGAGUAGCUGGGACUACAGUUGUGUGCCAUGACGCCCAGCUAAUUUUUGUAUUUUUAGUAGAGAUGGGGUUUCACCAUGUUGGCCAGGCUAGUCUCGAAAUCCCGACCUCAGGUGAUCCACCCACCUUGGCCUCCCAAAGUGCUGGGAUUACAGGCGUGAGCCACCGCACCCGGCCACAAUUUCUUUUAUAUGACAUUUGGGAAAAUGCAAAUCUAUGGGGGAUAGAAGUUGGUGGGUUUCCAGUCACCCAAACUCUUGUAGACAGCAUGGAGGGCCAAGGAAAAAAUGAUAGUGAAGCUGUGGUCAGAGUUUUCUGAUGCUUGAGUUACAAGGAACCAGCUUUACACACUAAGUCUCCAUUUGCUUAAGGCAACACAUUGUCUUAUAUGUAUUUUUAUGAUAACGAUGUUACAAUGAAAGGACUGGAAAGGUGUGGACAGAAUCAGAGGUUGGCUACUAGCAUGCGAGUAAAAAGGCCUAAGCUAUGUCGGGAGGACUGCAUGUAUUUGAGUUUGGCAGCAGGGGAGCACAACUGAAAAGGAGUGAUGAAAUGAGAGGUUGGAAAAGACAAUUAGGACCUCAGGGUACACAGUGGACAAUACCAGAGCUGGCAUUGGCAAAGUACAGGCCGUAUCCUGUGCCCUGGGGUCUCCAAAGGGGAAGAGGAGGUGGAUCCCAGGGAGUCCACAAUAUAAUCUGCUGGGAUAUGGGAAGAAAAUACUAGAAUUUUGGUUUUUUUUAACUUUAUACUUUAAAAUUUUCUAUUUUGGGGAUAGUUUAUAAUGUAAAUAAUAUACUGCUAGAAUACACACAUAUAAGUUAUAAAUAGGUAUACCGGUGAGGUGCAGUGGCUCACACCUGUAAUCUCAGUACUUUGGGAGGCUAAGGCAGGUGGAUCACCUGAGGUCAGGAGUUCAAGACCAGGCUGGUCAACAUGGCAAAACCGUCUCUACUAAAAACACAGCCGGGAGUGGUGGUGGGCACCUGUAAUCCCAGCUGCUCAGGAGGCUGAGGCAGGAGGAUCGCUUGAACCUGGGAGGAAGAGGUUGCAGUGAGCCGAGGUCGUACCACUGCACUGCAGCCUGGGCAACACAGUGAGACUUGGUCUCUAAAUAAAUAAAUAAAUAUUAGGUAUACCUACAUCAGGGGGUUUCUUCAAAGAAUAUUUUUUCCCGAGAGGGUGUGUGAUACAAAAAGUAUGGAGAUCAUUACUACAGAACAUGAAGAUCCAUGAGAGGUUUUUAACCACGGAUGUGAUGUGACCAGAGCUCUCACUUAGAAAGAAGAACCUGGCAGGAUGCAUGGGACAACCUCCAGAGUGGAGCAGGGGGUGGCCACGGGCAGGGAGACUGGCAGGAGGCUGCUGCAGGGGGACAGGUGACAUUGGCGGUGCAGUAGUGAUACCAACUACAGCAAAUAUCAGUAUGAUUUUACAACCAGAAUGCAAAAGCGAAAGCAUGGACCAAUCAGAACACAGCCCAAGCAGAAGCAACUGGAACAGCUGUGCAUUGCAGUAACACAGGCAGUACAGGUUAGGGUGAGCGGUGCUGAGACCUGAAUUAGGAUGGCAGAAGUUGGGGAAGAGGAGGUGCUGGAAAAAGGAACAUUUUAGAAGCAGAAUCAACAAGACCUGGUGACUGACUGGACAUCUUCGGAUUAGGGAGAAAAAGGGAGCAGAAGUGUUGUUCUCAGAACACUGAGUGGAUGGUGAUGUCGCUGAAGUGGGGAACGUGAAAGGACAGAGAGGUUUGAGGAAGAUGGGUGGCGGCAAUUGUGAUACAUUGAGGCAGAGUGACUAAAGGACAGCAGCAGCAUCAACUAACAUUUUUACAACCCCUCAGAGAUUCAGCCAGAUAGUGUGAUCUUAUUAAGUGGAUUUUACUAAGGCUCAAAGAUGUGAAGUAAGUUGCCCAAGGUCACACAGCCAGUAACCUGCAGAGCUGAGAUUUGAAACCAUGUCCUCCUGACUCUUAAAAAGCUUAUUCCCUCCUGGGGAGUCCUCAGCCCAGGCCUGACAUAGAGCCAGACACAGGCCUCUUUCUGACUGGCGUCGACAGCUGGCAGGGUUGCAGGGAGCCCGGGCAGCCACA